rnacentral:rRNA from 1 species
UACGUAGGGUGCAAGCGUUGUCCGGAAUUAUUGGGCGUAAAGAGCUCGUAGGCGGUCUGUCGCGUCGGCUGUGAAAUCCCGAGGCUCAACCUCGGGUCUGCAGUCGAUACGGGCAAACUAGAGUAUUGCAGGGGAGACUGGAAUUCCUGGUGUAGCGGUGAAAUGCGCAGAUAUCAGGAGGAACACCGGUGGCGAAGGCGGGUCUCUGGGCAAUAACUGACGCUGGAGGAGCGAAAGCGUGGGGAGCAACAGG